CUGAAGAAGGAGGUGACAGUCAAUUAUUUAAUUUUCUGUUUUUUCUUGUGCAUCCCCUACGUCCUAAGGAGCAGUUGCUACCUCAUAUUAUAUUAUCUGCUCAAGGUCACCUACUACUUUGGUUGCUGUGUCCAAGUUGUUUCCCUGAGCUCUUUCCAUGUGUUUCAGUUUGGUUCCAGAUUGACUUCUACCACCCCACAGUGUGGUGCUGUACUGCAUGGAAUGAGAGUACUGCCUUGCAACCCCACCUGCUUGGAACUUCUGCAUUAAAUAAACAUUUUCUGA